GACGAACGCUGGCGGCGUGCUUAACACAUGCAAGUCGAACGGAAAGGCCCUGCUUUUGUGGGGUGCUCGAGUGGCGAACGGGUGAGUAACACGUGAGUAACCUGCCCUUGACUUUGGGAUAACUUCAGGAAACUGGGGCUAAUACCGGAUAGGAGCUCCUGCUGCAUGGUGGGGGUUGGAAAGUUUCGGCGGUUGGGGAUGGACUCGCGGCUUAUCAGCUUGUUGGUGGGGUAGUGGCUUACCAAGGCUUUGACGGGUAGCCGGCCUGAGAGGGUGACCGGCCACAUGGGGACGGAGAGACGGCCCAGACCCCGACGGGAGGCAGCAGUGGGGAAUAUGGCACAAGGGGCGGAAGCCUGAUGCAGCAACGCCGGGGGGGGGAGGACGGCCUUGGGGUUGUAAACCGCUUUCGCCUGUGACGAAGGGGGAGGGACGGGAAUGGGGAAAGAAGCACCGGCUAACUACGG
rnacentral:rRNA from 1 species